rnacentral:rRNA from 1 species
AAAUUGAAGAGUUUGAUCAUGGCUCAGAUUGAACGCUGGCGGCAGGCCUAACACAUGCAAGUCGAACGGUAACAGGAAGCAGCUUGCUGCUUCGCUGACGAGUGGCGGACGGGUGAGUAAUGUCUGGGAAACUGCCUGAUGGAGGGGGAUAACUACUGGAAACGGUAGCUAAUACCGCAUAAUGUCGCAGGACCAAAGAGGGGGACCUUCGGGCCUCUUGCCAUCAGAUGUGCCCAGAUGGGAUUAGCUUGUUGGUGAGGUAACAGCUCACCAAGGCGACGAUCCCUAGCUGGUCUGAGAGGAUGACCAGCCACACUGGAACUGAGACACGGUCCAGACUCCUACGGGAGGCAGCAGUGGGGAAUAUUGCACAAUGGGCGCAAGCCUGAUGCAGCCAUGCCGCGUGUAUGAAGAAGGCCUUCGGGUUGUAAAGUACUUUCAGCGGGGAGGAAGGGGAUAAGGCUAAUA